AGUCUAGCAUGUGCGCGAGUCAUGGGGCUCUUACGAAACCCAAAGGCGCAAUGAAAGUAAAGGUCUCCCACGGAGCACCWAGGCAAGAUCCGCCGCAGCGAUGCGGCGGCGCAUUGCCGGCCCGUCUCGGCGGCACSGUUCGCGAGGCGGAGCAAGAGCGCACACGCUGGGACCCGAAAGAUGGUGAACUAUGUCUGAGUAGGGCGAAGUCAGAGGAAACUCUGAUGGAGGCCCGCAGCGAUUCUGACGUGCAAAUCGAUCGUCAAACUUGGAUAUAGGGGCGAAAGACUAAUCGAACCAUCUAGUAGCUGGUUCCCUC
rnacentral:rRNA from 2 species